rnacentral:tRNA from 3 species
AGUAUUAGCUCAGUUGGAUAGAGCGUCCCCCUCCUAAGGGGAAGGCCGAGGGUUCGAAUCCUUCAUACUG